rnacentral:piRNA from 1 species
AGGGUUGGGACACAGCUAUUCUCGGGCC